UACGGGGGGGGCAAGCGUUGUUCGGAAUUACUGGGCGUAAAGGGCGCGUAGGCGGCCUGCUAAGUCGAACGUGAAAUCCCCGAGCUCAACUCGGGAACUGCGUCCGAUACUGACAGGCUUGAAUCCGGGAGAGGGAUGCGGAAUUCCAGGUGUAGCGGUGAAAUGCGUAGAUAUCUGGAGGAACACCGGUGGCGAAGGCGGCAUCCUGGACCGGCAUUGACGCUGAGGUGCGAAAGCUAGGGGAGCAAACGGG
rnacentral:rRNA from 1 species